UACGUAGGAGGCGAGCGUUGUCCGGAAUCACUGGGUGUAAAGCGCGUGUAGGCGGCCUGCCAAGUCUGCUGUGAAAGCGCCUGGCUUAACCGGGCGAGGUCGGUGGAAACUGGCGGGCUGGAGGACGGUAGAGGGGGGUGGAAUUCCCGGUGUAGUGGUGAAAUGCGUAGAGAUCGGGAGGAACACCAGUGGCGAAGGCGGCUCACUGGACCGGUAUUGACGCUGAGGUGCGAAAGCGUGGGAAGCAAACAGG
rnacentral:rRNA from 1 species